rnacentral:tRNA from 1 species
AAAGGGAGACCUAAUUCAGGUAGGAGACGAAAAAAAAGUAGUCGCUACCAAGAAUCAAUCCCAAAAGGUCGGAGCGAGGCGAAAUUGGCUUUCAAACUAGGUUCUGGGUUCAAACAAGACCUGAAUCAGGAACAAGGGCUAUUAGCUCAGGUGGUUAGAGCGCACCCCUGAUAAGGGUGAGGUCCCUGGUUCGAGUCCAGGAUGGCCCACCUGCACAGGUGGCAAAAACAAGAGAAGCGAGGAAUCAGCACCUUAUCUUACUGACAUAGUAAGAGAGAAUGCUGGCUCUGAGUAAAGAGUCCAGAGGAACCUUGAAAACUGCAUAGAGCUAGGUGAAAAAGCCAAAAAAGAAGACCGCAAG